rnacentral:rRNA from 1 species
GAUGAACGCUGGCGGCGUGCCUAAUACAUGCAAGUCGAACGGAGAACUAGCUUGCUAGUUCUUAGUGGCGAACGGGUGAGUAAUACAUAAAUAAUCUGCCCAUAUGACUGGGAUAACUAUUGGAAACGAUAGCUAAUACCGGAUAGGUUAAUUGAAGGCAUCUUCGAUUAAUUAAAGUAGGUUUUCUACACAAAUGGAUGAGUUUAUGGCGCAUUAGUUAGUUGGUGGGGUAACGGCCUACCAAGACGAUGAUGCGUAGCCGACCUGAGAGGGUGACCGGCCACACUGGGACUGAGACACGGCCCAGACUCCUACGGGAGGCAGCAGUAGGGAAUUUUCGGCAAUGGGCGCAAGCCUGACCGAGCAACGCCGCGUGAGUGAUUAAGGCCUUCGGGUUGUAAAGCUCUGUGUAAGGGAAGAACAAUCAG